ensembl:lncRNA
GGCAACAGCCCAACUGCAGGAGACCGCGGGGGUCAUGACCCUGAGCAUGGCAGAUCACCUGGGCCACGACCAGACCGCAGUGGGAGCGCCUUCUGAGACCUGCUCCUGGCCGCCUCCUCUCCCCACGCCGUGUCCCUCUGAGGCACACUCCCGUGGACUCGCUGCCACCCUCCCUUCCCCUGUGGGGCCUUCAGAGAGAGCCCGGCCCCAUGCCGGGACGAAGGACGGAGACCCUAAAGCACAGAACCCCCAGACCUGUUGUGCUCCACCCGCCCGGCAAUCCUGCGGGGUCGACGCCAUGGGCCCCGAAAUAGGGGACUGCCCGGCUGGGAUGGAGGUGAGAGCCCGGCAGAGCGGCCCCUGGCCCCAUGGGGCCCCACGGCCACCGGACGGUGGUCCCCAGCCCCAGGCGUCCGGACCAAGCUGCUCCCGGGAGAGGAGGUCGGCGCCCUAGCGGGCUUUCCUUGCUCCCGCCUCCUUGCUCCCGCCUCCAGAGCCUGGGGCCGCCUGAGCGCCUGGCAGGCCCGGCUGUACCUGCCUCGCGGGGGGAGCAGAGCCCCUCCAGGCCCUCGCCCCACCCCCCCGCCCAGCGCGGAAGGAGCCGCCCGCCCACUGCCGCGCCUGGGCCGGGACUGGGGAGGCAAACGCCCCCACCAGAGCGGCCGCCGGGGCUCAAGGUGCAGGUGGGCCAGGAGCAGAGAGAGGAAGGGCCGGGCGGUGUCCUCCCCGCCCCGGCCGGGGCUUUGGCCUAGCGGAGGGGUCGACAGAAGGGCACGGAGGUGACCUGAACCCAGAGGGCGGGAGACCGAGCCCAGACUGCUGGCAAAUCGUGACUUACACACAGAGUGGGAAGCAAAACCUCGCUUAUCCCAAAUGGGGCGCACAGUCAGCUGGCCUCCCGUCCCUCCCCAUCCCCCCCAACCACGCAGCCUCCCGCCAGGAGGGAGGCGCUGGUCCCCCUGCCUUCCCCGCGGGCCAGCCCUCUGCCAGCCCCCUCUCAUGCUCCUGACGGCUGGAAGCACAAUUUUCAUCCCCUGAGAGGCAGAGGAACGGCUCGCGCCCCGCCCGAAACAGGUGUUUACUUUUAACGCUAACAGCCCCCACCCUCCUGAAACUCGCCGGAUGGGCCCGAGGGCUGUGGAGAGCCCGCUCCUGGGUAUGGGGGGGGGGCCGUGGCCUCAGCGCAGCGACCCAGAGUGCCAAGCAGCAUCGCCGCCUGUGCUGAAGGGAGUUUACCUCCUCACCAUGGUCAGGAGAGCAUCCCACAACCCCCUACCCAGAGCCCUGAGCCGCCUUGCAGGGCCCGGGAACCACGGGGGUAACAGUGACCAGCUGAGUGGGUGAAUUUGCGCCGGGCACCGUGGCCUCGCUCACGGGACCAACCCUGGACGCUGGGUCAGCUCGCCUGGCUGGACAACUGUCUUGGCCAGAAGGCCAGGGCUGGUUUUCAGGAAAUUGGUGAUGAACCACGAAACGGGAUCGUCUCUUUUUGUUUCUUUUUGGCAGAUACUAGUUCAGUUGUUCACCUAACACCCUCUCUUCGCUGCAUGUGUAUUUAUUUAGUUAUAACCCUGGUGGACUGCAGCUUCCGUCUUCGUUGGGAAUGAGUUCGUUAUGAGCCAUGGUUGGGUCGGUGACCACAGCUUGUUUGCUCCCCCGUCGGGAGUGGGGGGGCGGGGCAGAGCCCGGAGGACACAGUGGGGAGGGCGGCCCCCACAGCUGCACCGUCGUCUGUUUUAAUUUAACUGUAUUUAAUUUGUUUCGAAAUUAAAAGUCAACUAUGGUUUUUAACCGUCUUAA